rnacentral:rRNA from 1 species
GACGAACGCUGGCGGCGUGCUUAACACAUGCAAGUCGAACGAUGAAGCUAGAGCUUGCUCUGGUGGAUUAGUGGCGAACGGGUGAGUAACACGUGAGUAACCUGCCCCGAACUCUGGGAUAACUGCUGGAAACGGUAGCUAAUACUGGAUACGACCAACGAAGGCAUCGCCAGGGGGUGGAAAGAAUUUCGGUCAAGGAUGGACUCGCGGCCUAUCAGCUAGUUGGUGAGGUAACGGCUGACCAAGGCGACGACGGGUAGCCGGCCUGAGAGGGUGACCGGCCACACUGGGACUGAGACACGGCCCAGACUCCUACGGGAGGCAGCAGUGGGGAAUAUUGGGCAAUGGAGGAAACUCUGACCCAGCGACGCCGCGUGAGGGAUGAAGGCCUUCGGGUUGUAAACCUCUUUCAGCAGGGAAUAAGCGAAAGUGAAGGUACCUGCAGAAGAAGCACCGGCUAACUAUGUGCCAGCAGCCGCCUAA